rnacentral:rRNA from 1 species
UACGGGGGGGGCAAGCGUUGUCCGGAUUUAUUGGGCGUAAAGAGCGUGUAGGCGGCCAUGUAGGUCCGUUGUGAAAACUCGAGGCUCAACCUCGAGACGCCGAUGGAAACCAUGUGGCUAGAGUCCGGAAGAGGAGAGUGGAAUUCCUGGUGUAGCGGUGAAAUGCGCAGAUAUCAGGAGGAACACCGGUGGCGAAGGCGGCUUGCUGGGCCUUACCUGACGCUGAGGAGCGAAAGCGUGGGGAGCGAACAGG